rnacentral:rRNA from 1 species
UACGUAGGGGGCAAGCGUUGUCCGGAUUUAUUGGGCGUAAAGAGCGUGUAGGCGGCCUGAAAGGUCAGCUGUGAAAACUCGAGGCUCAACCUCGAGACGUCGGUUGAAACCAUCUGGCUAGAGUCCGGAAGAGGAGAGUGGAAUUCCCGUGUGAGACGGUGAAAUGCGCAGAUAUCAGGAGGAACACCGAUGGCGAAGGCAGGUCUCUGGGCCGAUACUGACGCUGAGGAGCGAAAGCGUGGGGAGCGAACAGG